rnacentral:rRNA from 1 species
UACGAAGGGGGCUAGCGUUGCUCGGAAUCACUGGGCGUAAAGCGCACGUAGGCGGAUUCCUAAGUCGGGGGUGAAAUCCUGGAGCUCAACUCCAGAACUGCCUUCGAUACUGGGAAUCUUGAGUCCGGGAGAGGUGAGUGGAACUGCGAGUGUAGAGGUGAAAUUCGUAGAUAUCAGGUGGAACACCAGUGGCGAAGGCGGCUUUCUGGACGGUAACUGACGCUGAGACGCGAAAGCGUGGGGAGCAAACAGG